UGUUCUGAGUAGUUUUCUUUUAGGAAGUGUUUGGAUAACUAUGGUUCGAAUUUGUUGAGUUGUUUGUAUGUGGGGAUGAGCAAGGAAUCUGAGGCAUGCUGGUGUACUUUUUGAUUUGUGGCUAGGAGGAGGGAUAUUCAUGGGGAUUCAAUUAACAAGGCUCAAUUGAAGGACUUUUGGGACCAGAUUUCUGACCAGAGUUUUGAUUCCAGGCUCAGAACCGUCUUUGACAUGGUUGAUAAAGAUGCAGAUGGAAGAAUCACCGAGGAAGAAAUUAAAGAGAUCAUCUGGCUUAGUGCCACAACAAACA